CCCGGGUACAGGAUUGUAAGUGUCACUUGACCAACACCGUCCUGAGCUCAUGUUUAGGAUUUUAGCCAAUAGUUUUGGGUCAAGCCCUAACCUGUCAAAGGUCAAAGAAAAGCACAAGUUAGAACUCCAGUCAUCAUGU